GCUCCAGUGGCGCAGUUGGUUAGCGCAUGGUACUUAUAAUGCCGAGGUUGCGAGUUCGAGCCUCGCCUGGAGCA
rnacentral:tRNA from 1 species